UACGAAGGGGGGCUAGCGUUGCUCGGAAUCACUGGGGCGUAAAGGGUGCGUAGGCGGGUCUUUUAAGUCAGGGGUGAAAUCCUGGAGCUCAACUCCAGAACUGCCUUUGAUACUGAAGAUCUUGAGUCCGGGAGAGGUGAGUGGAACUGCGAGUGUAGAGGUGAAAUUCGUAGAUAUUCGCAAGAACACCAGUGGCGAAGGCGGCUCACUGGCCCGGUACUGACGCUGAGGCACGAAAGCGUGGGGAGCAAACAGG
rnacentral:rRNA from 1 species